rnacentral:ncRNA from 2 species
AUAAUAAAAAUACUCCGAGCCUGUAAGCCUACGUCAGAAGUUGACAUGGUUUAGUGGCCGAUUCCCUUGAAUGGGAAACUGUUCUCAAAGAGAACCGAAGGGUAGAGGAAGAAAUGACUCUGCCUCCCUUGUUUUGGAAAGGAGUAAGCUUGAGUCGUAA